rnacentral:snRNA from 1 species
CAUCUAGAUGAUGGGCUU